AAAUAAGUUACUUUAUGAGCAUACAAUGAAUGCCUUGGCGCCAUAUUCCGAUGAAGGACGCGGUAGGUGCGCGAUACGCCCCGGGGAGCUACCAACGAGCUUUGAUCCGAGGAUUUCCGAAUGGGGAAACCUUCUUACAGAAAUGAAAGAAUCCCGCUUAGCGGGAAGGCAACUUGGGGAACUGAAAUAUCUCAGUACCCAGGGAAAAGAAAUCUAAUGAGAUUCCCCUAGUAGUGACGAGCGAAAAGGGAACAGCCCAAACCUUAUCUGCUUGCAGGUAAGGGGUUGUAGGACUACAUCAGUGAUCUUGUUUUUUUAGUCAAAGGACUCUGGAAAGAGCCGCCAUAGAGGGUAACAGCCCCGUCGACGAAAAAGAAAUAAGGUUACGUAGUAUCCUGAGUAGGGUCGGACACGUGAAAUCCGGCCUGAAUCUGGGGAGACCACUCUCCAAGGCUAAACAGAUAUGGCGACCGAUAGCGAACUAAGUACCGUGAGGGAAAGGUGAAAAGAACCCUAGUAAAGGGAGUGAAAUAGAUCCUGAAAUUGUAUGCUUACAAUGAGUGGGAGGUCGCCUUAGGCGACUGACCGCUUGCCUUUUGUAUAAUGAAUCUACGAGUUAGUUGUGUCGGGCGAGGUUAAUUUCCUUUAGGGGAGAGGAGCCAAAGCGAAAGCGAGUCUGAAUAGGGCGAUUAAGUCCGACACACUAGACCCGAAUCCGGGUGAGCUAUACAUGGCCAGGUUGAACUCAGUAGAAAUACUGGGGGAGGACCGAACCCACCGUUGCUGCAAAAACGGGGGAUGAGCUGUGUAUAGGGGAGAAAUUCCAACCGAACUCGGGGAUAGCUGGUUCUCUUCGAAAUAGCUAUAGGGCUAGCCUCAUGUGGUAGCGUUUGGAGGUAGAGAUAUUUUUAGGUUAGGGAGCGUGAGCUUACCGACCCUUGAAAAACUUCAAAUACCGAACGUGAAAUCAUGGGAGUCAGACGGUGACGGCUAAGCGCCAUCGUCACAAGGGGGAAAGCCCAGACCGACGUCUAAGGUCCCUAAAUCAAGUCUAAGUGGUAAAGGAUGUAAGGUUUCAUAAACAACCAGGAUGUUGGCUUAGAAGCAGCCAUUCAUUUAAAGAGUGCGUAAUAGCUCACUGGUCUAUUGAGAUCUUGCGCCGAAAAUGUAACGGGGCUCAAGACUUGUACCGAAGACACGGAUCCUGCGCUAGAGACUAUGUGUGGUAAGUCCCAUUAAGGUGGCUUGCCACCCGUAGCCUCUGGCGUAGGGUGGUAGAAGAGCGUUCCUGACAGCUGUGAAGGUACAUCGUGAGAUGUGCUGGAGCGUUAGGAAGUGCGAAUGUAGAUAUGAGUAACUUUAUGGUUGUUAAAACCAACCACACCGCAUACCCAAGGUUUCCCGGGCAACGACAAUCGACCCGGGGUUAGUCGGUCCUAAGGUGAGGCAGAAAUGCGUAGCCGAUGGAUAUACGGUUAAUAUUCCGUAACUAUUAAUGAUUCGUCAGAACACUUAAUCUUGACGUGGAUACAUUGUUUUAUCGAGCCGUAAGGCAAAGUAAGAGGUGUACCGCUAUGGGUUUUGUUGUUAGACGCGGAGGGACACAGGAGGAGUAUAGGAGCGCAUUAUUGGAUUUGCGUCCAGAAGGCGAGGCGUGGAAUGUAGGUAAAUCCGCAUUCCUGCUAAGUCGAGCUGAUGGAGAAAGUUCUGCUUUUAGUGGAGCUCAAUUCUUAUAUAUUCAUCUGUCAAGAAAAACUUCGUUGUCGAGAAUCAUUAGUAACCGUACCGCAAACGAACACUCGUGGGUGAGUCGAGUAGACUAAGGUGAUCGAGUAACUUCUUCUCAAGGAACUCGGCAAUACAACGGCUGUAACUUCGGGAUAAAGCCUGCCCUGAAUUUAUUCAGGGCCGCAGUUAAAGAACUCCUGCGACUGUUUAUCUAAAACACAUCUCUCUGCAAACACGCAAGUGGAAGUAUAGGGAGUGAGACCUGCCCAGUGCUAGAAGGUCAAGAGGAGGGGUGCAAGCUCUGAAUCUAAGCCCUAGUGAACGGCGGCCGUAACUAUAACGGUCCUAAGGUAGCGAAAUUCCUUGUCGGGUAAGUUCCGACCCGCACGAAUGGUUUAACGGUGGGAGUACUGUCUCGAGAAGAAACUCGGUGAAAUUGCAUUAUGAGUGAAAAUGCUCAUUAACCACAGAAAGACGAAAAGACCCUGUGAAGCUUUACUGUACUCUGGUAUUGGAUUGAUGUGAAAAGUGUGUAGGAUAGGUGGGACGCUUUGAACUUGCCGCGCUAGCGGUGAGGGAGCGGCCGGUGAAAUACCACCCUCUUUUUACGUCGAUUCUAACUUCCGUCAUUUUAUCUGACGCGAAGGACAGUGCUUGAUGGGCAGUUUAACUGGGGCGGUUGCCUCCUAAAGAGUAACGGAGGUGUGCAAAGGUAUCCUAGGGCCGGAUGGAAAUCGGUCUAAUAGUGUAUUAGCAUAAGGAUGCUUAACUGUGAGACCUAUAAGUCGAGCAGAUGCGAAAGCAGGCUAAAAUGAUCCGCUAUCUACACGUGGGUGUGAUAGCGCUCAACAGAUAAAAGCUACUCCGGGGAUAACAGGCUGAUCGGGCCCAAGAGUUCAUAUCGACGGCCCGGUUUGGCACCUCGAUGUCGGCCCGUCGCAUCCUGGGGCUGUAGAAGGUCCCAAGGGUUUGGCUGUUCGCCAAUUAAAGCGGUACGCGAGCUGGGUUCAGAACGUCGUGAGACAGUUCGGUCUCUAUCUUCUGUGGUCGUUAGAACAAUUGCGAGGACGGAUCUCUAGUACGAGAGGACCGAGAUGUACGAACCUCUGGUGCAUCUGUUGUCAUGCCAAUGGCAGUGCAGAGUAGCUAUGUUCGGUCGUGAUAACCACUGAAAGCAUCUAAGUGGGAAACAUACCUCAAGAUUAAUUGUUCCAUAAAAUUCCAGGGAGACUACCUGGUUGAUAGGGGGAGGGUGUGAGUCCCGUAAGGGAUUGAGCCUAUCCUUACUAAGAAAUUUUUCGACUUAUUUUA
rnacentral:rRNA from 1 species